rnacentral:misc_RNA from 1 species
GAUGAAGAACGUAGUGAAAUGCGAUAAUUAAUGUGAAUUGCAGAAUUCCGUGAAUCAUCGAGUCUUUGAACGCACAUUGCGCCUCAUGGCAUUCCGUGAGGCAGGCCCAUCUCAGCGUUAGAAAAUAUUCUCAAAUUUUAGUUUUGUGCUAAAAUUUGGAUCAUGUCAAAGAAGCUAUUACUAUUAUUGUGAUCGCUCUUUGGAAAUUGAUAGGUCUUUGAGUUGCUACUCAUAGAACGUGAUGAAUCUUUCUUCGUUCUAUUGUAAUUCACUCUGGUAGUCCUAAAACUUGUAUGCCUGUGGCAUAUCUUGUAAUUUGACCUGAGAUUGGGUAGGGAUACCCGCUGAACUUAAGCAUAUCAAUAAGCGGAGGA